rnacentral:rRNA from 1 species
GACGAACGCUGGCGGCGUGCUUAACACAUGCAAGUCGAACGGAAAGGCCCUGCUUUUGUGGGGUGCUCGAGUGGCGAACGGGUGAGUGACACGUGAGUAACCUGCCCUUGACUUUGGGAUAACUUCAGGAAACUGGGGCUAAUACCGGAUAGGAGCUCCUGCUGCAUGGUGGGGGUUGGAAAGUUUCGGCGGUUGGGGAUGGACUCGCGGCUUAUCAGCUUGUUGGUGGGGUAGUGGCUACCAAGGCUUUGACGGGUAGCCGGCCUGAGAGGGUGACCGGCCACAUUGGGACUGAGAUACGGCCCAGACUCCUACGGGAGGCAGCAGUGGGGAAUAUUGCACAAUGGGCGGAAGCCUGAUGCAGAAACGCCGCGUGCGGGAUGACGGCCUUCGGGUUGUAAACCGCUUUCGCCUGUGACGAAGCGUGAGUGACGGUAAUGGGUAAAGAAGCACCGGCUAACUACGUG